UACGUAGGGUGCGAGCGUUGUCCGGAAUUAUUGGGCGUAAAGAGCUUGUAGGCGGUUUGUCGCGUCUGCUGUGAAAUCCGGGGCUCAACCCCGGACUUGCAGUGGGUACGGGCAGACUAGAGUGUGGUAGGGGAGACUGGAAUUCCUGGUGUAGCGGUGGAAUGCGCAGAUAUCAGGAGGAACACCGAUGGCGAAGGCAGGUCUCUGGGCCGUAACUGACGCUGAGGAGCGAAAGCAUGGGGAGCGAACAGG
rnacentral:rRNA from 1 species